rnacentral:tRNA from 1 species
GCGGGUAUAGCUCAAUGGCAGAGCACCGGCUUCCCAAGCCGGCGGUGCGGGUUCGAUUCCCGUUACCCGCUCCA